UAGGGAAUCUUCCACAAUGGACGCAAGUCUGAUGGAGCAACGCCGCGUGAGUGAAGAAGGUUUUCGGACCGUAAAGCUCUGUUGUUGGUGAAGAAGGAUAGAGGUAGUAACUGGCCUUUAUUUGACGGUAAUCAACCAGAAAGUCACGGCUAACUACGUGCCAGCAGCCGCGGUAAUACGUAGGUGGCAAGCGUUGUCCGGAUUUAUUGGGCGUAAAGCGAGCGCAGGCGGAAGAAUAAGUCUGAUGUGAAAGCCCUCGGCUUAACCGAGGAAUUGCAUCGGAAACUGUUUUCUUGAGUGCAGAAGAGGAGAGUAGAACUCCACGUGUAGCGGUGGAAUGCGUAGAUAUAUGGAAGAAUACCAGUGGCGAAGGCGGCUCUCUGGUCUGCAACUGACGCUGAGGCUCGAAAGCAUGGGUAGCGAACAGGAUUAG
rnacentral:rRNA from 1 species